UUUUAAAGGACGGGUGUGGGAAAAAAAAGAAAGAAGAAGGGCUAUGGCGAUAUCGACGCUCCUCUCCCGGACGAAAAGAAAAGCGGAUAAGCACAGAGAGAAACAAGAGAGACAAGUCAGGACAACAGAAACCGGAGAGAACUGAUCGGAGCAGAGAGGAGAGAUGAGGAGAUGGAUGGAGCAGUGGAGAGAUGAGUCCCCGGAGCUGAGUUUAGUGGCGGCGUGGCGCAGCGCCACGCGCUCUUGUUGUCCAUACAGCUGACACCCAUGGGAGAAAAGGGAGUCCGACCUGAAACCUGACAGUGUUCGGCCCUCACCGGAAGCCUCACCUCUGGUUUCCUCUUGCAACAGCCACUGUGAAUGCUGGGAAUGUCUCCUGUGCUGAGAAUUUAGAGUUUGAUGUGUCGCCCCCUUCUGGUCACAAAUGUAACUGCAGUGCAUUCAGGAGACAGAGAGGUACUGCAGCUCAGCACCUUCUGACUGCCCAGCUGUGGAAAUCCAGAGAAGAGAAAAGAGGAGGUGAUGCAAAAUGCUGGUAUGCCCAUCUGAGUCGCCUUCAGUUAUUGUAGUGCAUUGCCGGACUUCGUUUUACCCUGGGUUUCCCCUGUCAGGCUUCGCACAGGCCACUGCCCGACCAUCUGAUAGACAUGGGAUGUUCCUGUAGACACUAAUCAGGGCUGGAAAUUAUAUAUUUUCUUCUGGAAUAAAGAAAUCUCUCUCUAUAUAUUUUUACACUCAGUAUUUUGUAAAAUGGGCAAUAAUUAAACUUAAAUGCUAAAUACUAAUGAUAAAGAACAGUGCUCUUUUUAGUUAAGAUGGAAAUACAAGAUUUAUCUAUGAAUAAGUGUCUGUGUCUCAAUAAGAAAAUAAAUGUGAUAUUGAGUAAGAUUAAUGCAUUUAUAUCAAUGCCGCUAUUACUACUACUACUACUAGUACUACUACUAAUAAUAGUAAUAAUAAUUAUAAUGGCACAGCAAUUUGAACAUUUGUAUUUGCUGCUAUUAUUUGGAAAGCAAGAGAAAUGUAAUGAUUUCAAUUGUGUUAAUUUUAAACAUAUUUUAUUUAUUUUAAAUUUAAUUAAUUAAGUUAAAUUAAAUUGCAUUUUAUUUUAUUUUAGCUGAACUAUGCCCAUUCUCACAAUGUAUACGAGUUAUUCCUGUGGUCUAAGGCAGCGCAGAAAUAUUAGCAGACUCUCGAGAACAACAACUACAGCACUAAAGCUUAAAUUUGUGAUGUUAUUCACUAUAAAGUCUGGAGCUGCUACAUACACAAUGAAUUCGGAAAGAUGUUAUAUGACACUGAGAGCACCCAGGGGACUGUUCUGAGUAUUUACAGCCUGUUCUCACUUACAACUGGUCAAAUACCGCUUUGUCAAUGAUCUUGGUGUCAGAUACCAGUGCACAGAGACACCUUUCGCAGCAGUAUGAUACACACCAGACAGAGGCAGGUGGAGCAUGGGAGCCUGCUGUUCGUUUCCUGUGUGAAAGUAAAGUCAAUGAAGUUAUUUUAAUAAUAACAAAGUGUGCUAGCAUGUGUAGCAUGCCAUAGUGACAUAUGUCAUAUGACAUUACAUGAUGGCAGUAAUAACCAUUCUUAUUUUAAGCCAAGCCAUGAUGUUUUAUCCUAAA